rnacentral:rRNA from 1 species
UGCUGGAGGUAUCAGAAGUGCGAAUGCUGACAUAAGUAACGAUAAAGCGGGUGAAAAGCCCGCUCGCCGGAAGACCAAGGGUUCCUGUCCAACGUUAAUCGGGGCAGGGUGAGUCGACCCCUAAGGCGAGGCCGAAAGGCGUAGUCGAUGGGAAACAGGUUAAUAUUCCUGUACUUGGUGUUACUGCGAAGGGGGGACGGAGAAGGCUAUGUUAGCCGGGCGACGGUUGUCCCGGUUUAAGCAUGUAGGCGGAGGUUCCAGGUAAAUCCGGUACCUUUUAACGCUGAGGUGUGAUGACGAGGCACUACGGUGCUGAAGUAACAAAUGCCCUGCUUCCAGGAAAAGCCUCUAAGCAUCAGGUAACAUUAAAUCGUACCCCAAACCGACACAGGUGGUCAGGUAGAGAAUACCAAGGCGCUUGAGAGAACUCGGGUGAAGGAACUAGGCAAAAUGGUGCCGUAACUUCGGGAGAAGGCACGCUGGUGUGUAGGUGAAGUCCCUGCGGAUGGAGCUGAGACCAGUCGAAGAUACCAGCUGGCUGCAACUGUUUAUUAAAAACACAGCACUGUGCAAACACGAAAGUGGACGUAUACGGUGUGACGCCUGCCCGGUGCCGGAAGGUUAAUUGAUGGGGUUAUCCGUAAGGAGAAGCUCUUGAUCGAAGCCCCGGUAAACGGCGGCCGUAACUAUAACGGUCCUAAGGUAGCGAAAUUCCUUGUCGGGUAAGUUCCGACCUGCACGAAUGGCGUAAUGAUGGCCAGGCUGUCUCCACCCGAGACUCAGUGAAAUUGAACUCGCUGUGAAGAUGCAGUGUACCCGCGGCAAGACGGAAAGACCCCGUGAACCUUUACUAUAGCUUGACACUGAACAUUGAGCCUUGAUGUGUAGGAUAGGUGGGAGGCUUUGAAGCGUGGACGCCAGUCUGCGUGGAGCCAACCUUGAAAUACCACCCUUUAAUGUUUGAUGUUCUAACGUAGGCCCCUGACCGGGGUUGCGGACAGUGUCUGGUGGGUAGUUUGACUGGGGCGGUCUCCUCCCAAAGAGUAACGGAGGAGCACGAAGGUUAGCUAAUCCUGGUCGGACAUCAGGAGGUUAGUGCAAUGGCAUAAGCUAGCUUGACUGCGAGCGUGACGGCGCGAGCAGGUGCGAAAGCAGGUCAUAGUGAUCCGGUGGUUCUGAAUGGAAGGGCCAUCGCUCAACGGAUAAAAGGUACUCCGGGGAUAACAGGCUGAUACCGCCCAAGAGUUCAUAUCGACGGCGGUGUUUGGCACCUCGAUGUCGGCUCAUCACAUCCUGGGGCUGAAGUAGGUCCCAAGGGUAUGGCUGUUCGCCAUUUAAAGUGGUACGCGAGCUGGGUUUAGAACGUCGUGAGACAGUUCGGUCCCUAUCUGCCGUGGGCGCUGGAGAAUUGAGGGGGGCUGCUCCUAGUACGAGAGGACCGGAGUGGACGCAUCACUGGUGUUCGGGUUGUCAUGCCAAUGGCACUGCCCGGUAGCUAAAUGCGGAAGAGAUAAGUGCUGAAAGCAUCUAAGCACGAAACUUGCCCCGAGAUGAGUUCUCCCUGAGACUAUAAGUCUCCUGAAGGAACGUUGAAGACGACGACGUUGAUAGGCCGGGUGUGUAAGCGCAG